rnacentral:rRNA from 1 species
GACGCUGAGGCACGAAAGUGUGGGGAUCAAACAGGAUUAGAUACCCUGGUAGUCCACACUGUAAACGAUGAUAACUCGCUGUCGGCGAUACACAGUCGGUGGCCAAGCGAAAGCAUUAAGUUAUCCACCUGGGGAGUACGACCGCAAGGUUGAAACUCAAAGGAAUUGACGGGGGCCCGCACAAGCGGAGGAACAUGUGGUUUAAUUCGAUGAUACGCGAGGAACCUUACACGGGCUCGAACGGUGCAUGAAUAUACGAGAGAUUGUAUAGUCCUUCGGGACAUGUAUCGAGGUGCUGCAUGGUUGUCGUCAGCUCGUGCCGUGAGGUGUCGGCUUAAGUGCCAUAACGAGCGCAACCCUUGUCAUUAGUUGCCAUCAGGUCAAGCUGGGGACUUUAAUGAGACUGCCACCGUAAGGUGUGAGGAAGGGGGGGAUGACGUCAAAUCAGCACGGCCCUUAUGUCCGGGGCGACACACGUGUUACAAUGGGAGGUACAGAGGGCAGCUAUCCGGUGACGGAAUGCUAAUCUCCAAAACCUUUCUCAGUUCGGAUUGGAGUCUGCAACUCGACUCCAUGAAGGUGGAUUCGCUAGUAAUCGCGCAUCAGCCAUGGCGCGGUGAAUACGUUCCCGGGCCUUGUACACACCGCCCGUCAAGCCAUGGAAGCUUGGGGUGCCUGAAGUUCGUGACCGCAAGGAGCGACCUAAGGCAAAACAGGUAACUGGGGCUAAGUCGUAACAAGGUAACCGUA